rnacentral:ncRNA from 1 species
UUGAAAAGGGGUGCUGGAUUGAACCGGCUGAGACGGAACCUGCGGAUUUCGAACCCUGAAACCUGAUCUGGAUAAUGCCAGCGUAGGAAAUGCCU